UGGAUUUGCUCCCACGGGGUCGGACGAUAAGGAGAGGAACCGAAGAACACCAAGUACGAGAGCUACUGCAUGUGCCCCAACACUCCAUCUCAGGGCGACAAGGGUUUGCAAUGAGAAGAAAAGACACAAGGGAAGAGAUGGCGCGUGCUCUUUAACAAAUCCAUGAAUGCAAGUAGUUUGGAUGCCAAGGCUAAUGAUGAGAUUGGGGCUAAUGGUUUGUUAGCUUCUUCUUCUAAUCAAGUAGUUGGAAGGUGGUGUGAAGGAGAAAAAGCGUUUCCA